GGAUCAAUAAGAUCAGCCACCAGUUUGGGUUCCUCUCUAGCCGCAAGUCCACCUAUGACUCCUCUUGGUAACCAGCAAUCUCCCCUAAUGCGAAUUUGCCUUCCAUCACCCAUGACCAUCUAACAUGAGGAAUAAUAGCAUCCCUACCAAGUAGAAGACUCUGCCACCCCCAGGAUGGUCGAGAACCUCGAUCCGCCGAUUGGAAGUCCGUAGAGUGGUAGUAAAGACCCAUCUUCGAUUCGCAAUUCAUUUCCUGUCGCAAUUCCUUUGCUUCUGCACAUCUUCGAUUCGCUUCGCCACCACUGGAUUUCUGUCGGGCUCCAUCCUUGACUGAAUAAGUUUCGAGAUAGCUCGCCCAUAGGAUUAUCUCUUAUUCCCUCUCUGUGAGAUGGCUUCAGAAGACUCCUUGCGCCUGGCUGCUCUGUGCUCCAAAUUAGGUAGGCUUUCUACUGAAAAGAACAUUGAAGUGUGGGAGGAGGAACCCCCACCUGCAAAAUUGGCUCAAUGCAGAUUAACUUUGAUAGGAAGGAUUCUGUCCAAUCCAUCAAUAAAUUU
rnacentral:lncRNA from 1 species